CUUUCUCCUCUUCAAUUUCUUCUCAUUUCGCCUACCUAAGAAAGAAAACUUGUUAUUUUACUGUGUGGGCAAAGAUAUAAGGCCUAACUCAAUGGCCGGUAGACAAAAAUACAACAAAAACGAUGAUCGAUUGCUGAUAUGAGAGUCUAAAAUAUUUAUUACCGAGUAAUCAUACAUUAUAGGGGGCAGAGAGAGAGAGAGAGAGGAAGUUUUGGGUAUGAGAUCAAUGGAAGAGUGGAGCAGCUUUUUUUGUUGUUAUCUUUUGAUGCUAAAACUGGACGGAAUUCGUUCUACUGAUGCACAAGAAAUUAGAGUC
rnacentral:misc_RNA from 1 species